rnacentral:rRNA from 1 species
UACGGAGGGUGCAAGCGUUAUCCGGAUUCACUGGGUUUAAAGGGUGCGUAGGUGGGCUAGUAAGUCAGUGGUGAAAUCUCCGGGCUUAACCCGGAAACUGCCAUUGAUACUAUUAGUCUUGAAUACUUUGGAGGUAAGCGGAAUAUGUCAUGUAGCGGUGAAAUGCUUAGAUAUGACAUAGAACACCAAUUGCGAAGGCAGCUUACUACACAGUAAUUGACACUGAGGCACGAAAGCGUGGGGAGCAAACAGG